rnacentral:rRNA from 1 species
GUCAGCAGCUGUACCACCUGUAGCUCAGACUAGGUAAUCCCUGUGAAGCUAAACAGGUUUGGAUCUGGCCAGUACUUGGAUAGGAGACACACUAUGAAAGCAGGGUUGCCCCCG